AUUCAGAGAUGGGAGACAUUCCUAUGGAAUCGUCCUCUGUGGAAUGGACCAGAGGGAAGGAUGGAAUGAUUUCUGGUAAAAGGUGAUGAUCCCAAAGCCCAGCAGGCUCAAGGUCAAACAACUAUUAAGUUUUGAAACUGACAUUUGGUCCACAUCUCUCCUUACUCCAAGUUUAAUAUUGGUUUGAAAAUAUAGGCAAAAGAUCCAAUAAGAAACCAUAUGUUUCUGAGAAAUAAAUGUAGACACUUCUGGAGGUAGAGUCAAGAUGGCAGAAUAAUACAGAGCAUCUGUGUGCCAUCAUGAGAAUCUUCUUCAACCAAAGUUAAAUUAUUGCCACAAAACGAGUACAAGAGUGAAAGAACCAACAAGGAAACAGAGUGAAACAACUUUCAAGAAAGGAAAAACCCAAAAGGAUCUUUUGGACAAUCACCAGUGGAAAAGAGGAACCAAAGAACACUUAAGACCAAACUUAUUACUGGAGGGAAGGGAGAUGUGAACUGAAGUGGUUUGCCUUUGCUACUGAAUUCUAGCCUCAUCCACAGAUACUGUGUUUAUCCCAAUUGUCUUCUCAAGAUAUUGAAAGCAAGAAAAAGAGAAGAAAGAAAUAAAACAAAGAAAAAUAAAGAAUAUGUGAUCUUU
rnacentral:lncRNA from 1 species